rnacentral:rRNA from 1 species
CAGCAGCCACGGGAAUACGAAGGGUGCAAGCGUUACUCGGAAUUACUGGGCGUAAAGCGUGCGUAGGUGGUGGUUUAAGUCCGUUGUGAAAGCCCUGGGCUCAACCUGGGAAUUGCAGUGGAUACUGGGUCACUAGAGUGUGGUAGAGGAUAGUGGAAUUUCCGGUGUAGCAGUGAAAUGCGUAGAGAUCGGAAGGAACAUCUGUGGCGAAGGCGACUAUCUGGGCCAACACUGACACUGAGGCACGAAAGCGUGGGGAGCAAACAGGAUUAGAUACCCCUGUAGUCCCUGUCUCUUAUAC